rnacentral:rRNA from 1 species
GACAGAGGGUGCAAACGUUGCUCGGAAUUACUGGGCGUAAGGCGCGUGUAGGCGGUGCCGCACGUCCGAUGUGAAAGCCCGGGGCUCAACCCCGGACGUGCAUUGGAAACGACGGCGCUGGAGGCCUGAAGAGGAGGGCGGAAUUCCCGGUGUAGAGGUGAAAUUCGUAGAUAUCGGGAGGAACACCAGUGGCGAAGGCGGCUCUCUGGACAGGUUCUGACGCUGAGACGCGAAAGCGUGGGUAGCAAACAGG